rnacentral:rRNA from 1 species
GUCAAGAACAUUCGACAAUGGGCGAAAGCCUGAUCGAGCGACGCCGCGUGCAGGAAGAAACCCUUCGGGGCGUAAACUGCGGUAGUAAGCAAGCAACGCAAGUGAGCAGCUUACGGAAAGAGGUGGGUAACUACGUGCCAGCACCAGCGGUAAAACGUAGACCUCAAGCGUUAUCCGGAUUUAUUGGGCGUAAAGAGCAUGUAGGAGGUUUUGUGCGUCUUUGGUUAAAGCCCACCGCCCAACGGUGGAACCGCCAAGGAUACGGCAGAACUAGAGGAGGUUAGAGGUGCACGGAGCGCACGGUGUAGGGGUGAAAUCCGUUGAUAUCGUGCGAAACACCAAAGGCGAAGGCAGUGCACUGGGACCUUCCUGACUCUGAGAUGCGAAAGCGUGGGGAGCAAAAAGGAUUAGAAACCCGUGUAGUCC